rnacentral:lncRNA from 1 species
CAGUAACCAAAACAGCAUGGCACUGAUAUUAAAACAGAUAUAUAGACAAAUGGAACAGAACAGAGGCCUCGGAAAUAACACCCCAGAUCCACAACCAUCUGAUCUUUAACAAACCUGACAAAAACAAGCAAUGGGGAAACACUUAUUUAACAAAUGGUGCUGGAAAAACUGGCAAGCAGUAUGCAGAAAACAGAAACUGGAACCUUCCUUACGCCUUAUACAAAAAUUAACACAAGAUGGAUUAAAGACUUAAACAUGAAACCUAAAACCAUAAAAACGCUGAAUAUAUACCCAAAAUAUUAUAAAUCAUUCUACUAUAAAGAUACAUGCACACCUAUGUUUAUUGCAGCACUAUUUACAACAGCAAAUACUUGAAACCAACUCAAAUGUCCAUCAAUGAUAGACUGGAAAAAGAAAAUGUGGCACAUAUACACUAUGGAAUACUAUGCAGUUUAAAGCAUCACUAAGACUUAUGCUCAUCAAAUGUUUGAAAAGUCUGAUUAAUUUUUUAUAUUAUUUAAUGCUUAAAUGUUUAGAGGGUUCAAAUUUUUAAAUGCCUAGUUUUGUUUAACACUUAAUAAUGUAGCUUUUUAUUUAAUAUUAAGUUUAUGAAAGCAUUGUGUACUUAGAGAAGUGUUAAAUGUUUUAAAAAUGAUCAGCAGACAAUAAAAAAGUACAAACAAAAAAAGUACGUUAUUAAAAAAUUUGGUAUGGCAUGAGUUUAUGUAUCCACUUAAUUCAAAAGCCUAAUUGAAUUGUCAAAGGUUAAGUUCAAUAAGUAUGGUCUUGAAACUGAAACGCAGGGUUUUUUUCCCAUGAAUAAACCAAGGAGAAAUAAACAAAAUAAAAAUUAGUGGCAAGAUUUAUCAUUCCCCUUUGUAUGUCAACCUCCAAAACUCGUACUCAAGUUUGAGUAAAAUAUAGGAACUUUACCAUGCCUUACCACUUAGUUUUAUUUCUUAAUGAAGUCAUUUUAAAAGAGCCAAUUCUUAUUGCCAAGUUUUAUAUUUUCUCUAUAGGAUAAAACACAAACUUCCACUAAGCUUUUUCUUUCCCAACUUUCCUUUUUUAUCCCAUG